rnacentral:rRNA from 1 species
AGUGAACGCUGGCGGUAGGCCUAACACGUGCAAGUCGAACGGCAGCACAGUAAGAGCUUGCUCUUACGGGUGGCGAGUGGCGGACGGGUGAGGAAUACAUCGGAAUCUACUUUUUCGUGGGGGAUAACGUAGGGAAACUUACGCUAAUACCGCAUACGACCUACGGGUGAAAGCAGGGGAUCUUCGGACCUUGCGCGAUUGAAUGAGCCGAUGUCGGAUUAGCUAGUUGGCGGGGUAAAGGCCCACCAAGGCGACGAUCCGUAGCUGGUCUGAGAGGAUGAACAGCCAAACUGGAACUGAGACACGGUCCAGACUCCUACGGGAGGCAGCAGUGGGGAAUAUUGGACAAUGGGCGCAAGCCUGAUCCAGCCAUACCGCGUGGGUGAAGAAGGCCUUCGGGUUGUAAAGCCCUUUUGUUGGGAAAGAAAAGCAGCAGGUUAAUACCCCGCUGUUCUGACGGUACCCAAAGAAUAAGCACCGGCUAACUUCGUG